rnacentral:rRNA from 1 species
CACGUAGGGCGCAAGCGUUGUCCGGAAUUAUUGGGCGUAAAGAGCUACGUAGGCGGGUCUGUUGCGUCCGCUGUGAAAACUCGGGGCUUAACCCCGAGCCUGCAGUGGAUACGGGCAGACUAGAGGUAGGUAGGGGAGAAUGGAAUUCCCGGUGUAGCGGUGAAAUGCGCAGAUAUCGGGAGGAACACCGGUGGCGAAGGCGGGUUCUCUGGGCCUUACCUGACGCUGAGGAGCGAAAGCGUGGGGAGCGAACAGGG